rnacentral:rRNA from 1 species
AUUGAACGCUGGCGGCAUGCUUUACACAUGCAAGUCGAACGGUAACAGGGUGCUUGCACCGCUGACGAGUGGCGAACGGGUGAGUAAUGCGUCGGAACGUGCCGAGUAGUGGGGGAUAACGCAGCGAAAGUUGUGCUAAUACCGCAUACGUACUGAGGUAGAAAGUGGGGGACCUUCGGGCCUCACGCUAUUCGAGCGGCCGACGUCUGAUUAGCUAGUAGGUGAGGUAAAGGCUCACCUAGGCGACGAUCAGUAGCGGGUCUGAGAGGAUGAGCCGCCACACCGGGACUGAGACACGGCCCAGACUCCUACGGGAGGCAGCAGUGGGGAAUUUUGGACAAUGGGCGAAAGCCUGAUCCAGCCAUGCCGCGUGUCUGAAGAAGGCCUUCGGGUUGUAAAGGACUUUUGUCGGGGAGGAAAUCCCCAGCGUUAAUACCGCUGGGGGAUGACAGUACCUGAAGAAUAAGCACCGGCUAACUACGUGCCAGCAGCCGCGGUAACAC